rnacentral:tRNA from 1 species
GGGCAGGUGGCCGAGUGGUCAAUGGCAGCAGACUGUAAAUCUGCCGGCUUCGCCUACGGAGGUUCGAACCCUCCCCUGCCCACCA